rnacentral:rRNA from 1 species
AGCAGCCGCGGUAAUUCCAGCUCCAAUAGCGUAUAUUAAAGUUGUUGCAGUUAAAAAGCUCGUAGUUGAAUUUCGGGGUUAGUAGAUUGGUCAUGCCUCUGGUAUGCACUGGUCUCACUGAUUCCUCCUUCCUGAUGAACCGUAAUGCCAUUAAUUUGGUGUUGCGGGGAAACUGGACUGUUACUUUGAAAAAAUUAGAGUGUUUAAAGCAGGCUAACGCUUGAAUACAUUAGCAUGGAAUAAUGAAAUAGGACGUUCGAUCUUAUUUUGUUGGUUUCUAGGAUUGACGUAAUGAUUAAUAGGGAUAGUUGGGGGCAUUAGUAUUCAAUUGUCAGAGGUGAAAUUCUUGGAUUUAUUGAAGACUAACUACUGCGAAAGCAUUUGCCAAGGAUGUUUUCAUUAAUCAAGAACGAAAGUUAGGGGAUCGAAGACGAUCAGAUACCGUCGUAGUCUUAACCAUAAACUAUGCCGACUAGGGAUCGGAUGAUGUUAAUUUUUUAAUGACUCA